rnacentral:rRNA from 1 species
CCUACGGGUGGCAGCAGUGAGGAAUAUUGGUCAAUGGACGCAAGUCUGAACCAGCCAUGCCGCGUGCAGGAAGACGGCUCUAUGAGUUGUAAACUGCUUUUGUACGGGGGUAAACGCAGAGACGUGUAUCUUUCUGAAAGUAUCGUACGAAUAAGGAACGGCUAACUCCGUGCCAGCAGCCGCGGUAAUACGGAGGAUUCGAGCGUUAUCCGGAUUUAUUGGGUUUAAAGGGUGCGUAGGCGGUCGGAUAAGUUAGAGGUGAAAUCCCGUGGCUCAACUUCGGAAUUGCCUCUGAUACUGUGCGGCUAGAGAGUAGUUGAGGUAGGCGGAAUGCAUGGUGGAGCGGUGAAAUGCUUAGAGAUCAUACAGAACACCGAUUGCGAAGGCAGCUUACCAAGCUACUUCUGACGCUGAGGCACGAAAGCGUGGGGAGCAAACAGGAUUAGAUACCCUGGUAGUC